rnacentral:tRNA from 1 species
GGCGAGAUAGUUUAAGGUUAAAAUUCUUGUUUUACACGCAAGGGAUGGUGUUAGGGGCCUGUUGUCA